UUAGACCACACGCGCCAUAGCUGUACCUGUGGGGAAAACGUGGUAGCUGUUGGUAUCUGCUUGCUUAGCCGCCAGAUUUGGAUAGCCGAAGCUAAUUUUAUGAAUACGAAGUGCUUUGCACUGGUCAGGUUUUUUGAGUUGGAGAAAGGAGCCGAGACUCCCCGGAGAACUUUGGAUUACAGACUUGGUGGAAAUCCGCAGAAGAGGAAUAAUUUUCCAUUGCAAUGGAUGGCGAGCCACAGCCCAUUUGGAAUUGAAUCUUGAAGUCUGGUUGCCUGAACUGUGGUAGGACAAGACUGUGCAAACCAUACACCGAUCGUGGAUUGAACUCACACCAAUAACUCACCAGAUCACCAAACAGGCCUGAUCUGGAUCCUAUUGACACUUUAAAAGACCCGGGUCUAACAUUCGUUUCUUUUUUAUUUUGGGUAUCUGUGUAACGGAGUUAAAAAGACAUCUGAAAAACAUGCACUUACCUGGUCUUAAUUAUUAUUUUAAGUGUGAAUUUUAUCAUUUUUUUUGUUGUAUUUUAUUUUGAAAACCCAGAAACCGGAUCUCACUCUAGCGUUUAGAAGCUGCUAAGGCUUCCGCUCCUCACAGCGCGCGUUUCCACUGUGAGGGUAAGUUCUGUAAUGAAAGGCUCUGGCAUUUUUAUGGUUUCUGGUGUGAAUGUUGAUACAUAAGUUGUACAUGUCCAUGUAUAUAUGUUUAUAUUGAUGUUAGGAUGUUACUGUGUAACCGAAACAAAGGAUGGUUGCUGUUAAACAGUGUUUAUUGUAUUUAUGCUCUUUGGCAGUAAGCUUUUGUUAGCCCUCUAGUGGUUGCUGCGCAUAGCAGUAAAUGUGUUUGCAUUUACUGUUUUUCUGUGCUUUUUGUAAUGUUGUUUUACAUUAUAGGAGCUGCAAUUGUGGUACCAUCAGAAGACACCUGUUGAAUGUGUUUUAUGUCUUCUGCAGGUACGUGAGCUUGUUAAUAGUCAUCUUGUCUGUAAAGCACAAGCAAGUGAAAAUGUAGUGCACUACCGUUAAUUUGUCCACUAGAGGGAAAUGUUUAGCCAGUGAUACUUCUGUUAUCCUGUUAUUUUGUUUUAUACAGUUGUGAAAUGUAUUUUUAUAAGUGAUAAGAUUUCUUUUUGUAUUCAAGUACGGUGUGACAGUCUGUAAAAUGGGAGUAAAUUAUUAUUUUCCAUUAUUUCUUUGUUAAAAAGUAGAUUGUAAGACUGUCAACUGACAGCGCGCGUUUCCACUGUGAGGGAAUAAACCGUGAACAGCAAA